rnacentral:rRNA from 1 species
UACGGGGGGGCAAGCGUUGUUCGGAAUUACUGGGCGUAAAGGGCUCGUAGGCGGCCAACUAAGUCGGACGUGAAAUCCCUCGGCUCAACCGGGGAACUGCGUCCGAUACUGGAUGGCUUGAAUCCGGGAGAGGGAUGCGGAAUUCCAGGUGUAGCGGUGAAAUGCGUAGAUAUGCGGAGGAACACCGAUGGCGAAGGCAAUCCCCUGGGCCUGCACUGACGCUCAUGCACGAAAGCGUGGGGAGCAAACAGG